CCCUUUGGAAACGCAUAGGAGGGAUGGGUUGUUUUUUAAGUAUUCAACAAGAGAGCUCUCUCUCCCCGUCCUCGUCUCGGACACUCCACUGAAGCUCCCCGGCCAUAUCUUCAGCUCUCUGAAAAAAGGUGAAACCAAUAAGAUUAAAUCGGACAAAGAUUUUUCUUUUCUUUCUGUAAGUGUAUCAUUAAGAUUUAACUCCACAGAUAGGAAAAAAGGGGGCUCCGCGGGAGAAGACGAGGAGAGAGGAGAGUGAGAAUGAGAGGGGCAGCGAAUGGGGAGCAGGGAAGGGGGCUCUAAUAGAAAGCUUGGGGGAGAAGCGGCGAGAGAAAAAAGGAGAAAGUGGACAGCAGGACAUUAAAAGAAGAAGAGGAAGAAGAGCGAGAGACGAGGAGAGGUUUGCAAGAAGAGGAGCAGCUUUCCACCGGGAUAAAAGCAGCCCCAUAGAUAAGGCAAGUACAAUAUUUAUUUCUCACUUCAGCAGCAGAAGCACUACUGCACACGCGUGGAUCAAGACGCGAGGCUAAAUUCUCUGUCACGCCACAUGACCGUUAACUUUAGACCCGGGGCAGAGUCUCACAAAGUCACAACUUUUCAAUUCGCGUCUUUUCCCUCCACAUUAUCGCCGAUUAUCGAGCUCUCUCUUACAGCUGUCCUCUCUGAUGUGCACAUCAAGAUAGCAGAAAUGUUAUUCCAAGGUGGGGGGCUGCAUGCUUGUGGCACCGCUGGACCACGUCGCGUGCGCCUCACCUGCGAGGCUAUUUGUUGUUCGAACACCUAAUGAAAAGAUCGAUAUGAGGCUGUUUGUCUGUGAGAUAGUGUCACCGGAUUAAAAGGCUGAUCAAGGACAGCAGCCGGUGUCCAUCUUUUACGCAGUUUUUCUCCAAAGUGCCAGUUUGUGCCAUAAUCCGGUCACAUGCGCAAAAUGUAACGCACAGAAAAUGUCUUAUUGGUAAAAUAUGGCGUUAAAAAGUGCAUGAUUUAUCAAAGCAGAAAUACUGGAGCUUCAGGGACUUAAGUGAAAGUGAGAGAAAAUAAACGAUGCAAGCCGUGUUAAGUUCUUCCAGGACAAACAGCACGUCAAUCAGUUUAGUAGAAUAACCUUACAUAAUAACAUUUUACUUAAUCCUCUCCUAUGGGUGCAGAAAGCUCAUGCUUAUUAAUUAUCUCCUGUGAGCCAAACAAGAUUAAUUUUCCAUUUCCUAUUCUCUAAGUAUUCUACCAUUUGAAAUGUGCACGUUUUUAUACCACGCUCAGACGUAUGAAUAUUUACUAUAAUUUAAAAUAUGUAUUUCAGGUAGCACAUUUACGCAUUACCUUCACUUUAAUGUGAUAAUUUGAUGAGGAAUAUUUAAUUAUUCAUGUGAGAGUUUUAAACCAAACUGACCUCUGUAUUCAUCAAAAUCCAAUAAUCCAAGAAUAAGGAGUUCACGUUAUUCUGGAUGAGAUUUUUUGUAUUAUUUUAUCAAAGACAUCAUUGGAAAUAUUAAUAAGGACAGACAGAAACAGCUCUGACAAAUCUGUGUUCAUUAAUAAGUGAUCCCCUUCUUACACAGAUACAGUAUGAUGAUAGAGGGCAGCUUCAGCAGAGCUAAAAAACCUACAAGCAGCAAGAAUCAAUCCGGACCACACUGAGGUCAGAGGUGCAGGGCACACGUAUAAAACAAUAGCAGUGUGAGACGGUGCUCAGAGCUCUGAAAACGAGGCUAAAUGAUGAGCAUGUUUAUUACAGACCGUGUGAUCACAUUAGGGUUAUACUCAGAGACAAAAAAAUACCGUAUAGGUUUAAAGUGACUCUCUUUUUUCCAGGGGGGGGGGGCUCUGCCACUUUAACCUCUAUCAGUCUGCACAAUCUCAGUUAAGAUGACAAUAAUAAGUGGAACAAAACAAUGCAGAUUCAUGCACAUCUUCUUAUUGGGACCUGCUAGUUUGAAUAACACACACUGUGACUGUGGAGUGUGUGUUUCAACGAGAUGCAGCUGCAAACCUUCAAACUAUUUUCACACUUGUUGGACUGUGACUCUGCGCUGCCUGCAGCAGCCUGACACCAACGUCAUUUCUUAUUAAUAAUAAAUUAAUUCGAGAUUAAGCCAUGCUCUGCAAUCACCGAGAUUACACCGUUUAAUUUGUUUAAAGAUGUCAGUUUGAAGCUUAUUUUAAAUAAUUUCACAGCCUAUAGCAGAAAAUCUUGCAAACAUGAGGGCAGAGUGCAUCUUUGAGGAUAGAUGGCACAUGAAGACAAUGUUAGACACUGAACAUCUUAUAAGGAUUUGUUUCAGUCAGAUUUUUAAAUUGUUUGCAAGAUAAUUCUCAACAUAAAAGCAAUCAAUAAUCAUAAAUAUGGGAACUUUUUUUCCCUAAAUAAAGCUCAACUCUUAGAAUUAAAAUAAUGACAUUAAGGCCCACUUCCUUUUGUGACUUUGACACAGAUUAGAAACUGUAAAUUUCACUGACUAUCGUGUAGAGAUGCAACUUUUUCUGCACCACCACUAUAAAAAAUUGCACGUGGAAAAAAGCAGGCAAUCGUCGUGCGCAUGAGUGAGCUUCUAACAAACACAAACACUGUCAUAUAUUUAUGAGUACUAAUUGAAAAAAAAUCCAAGUCUAAUGUUUGAACUGCUUUGAGAGGUUGUGUGUUGAAAGAGAGGAGGGGUGAGAGCUCUGUGUGUGUGUGUGUGUGUGUGUGUGUGUGUGUGUGUGUUGGGGUGGGGGGUUAGUAAAGGGUGCUCUUUUUUUUUUGUCCAAAUCUGAUCCCCAAAUUAUUCUGGGGGGCUCAGAUUGGUGUGAAAGGGACGAGAAGGUCACUUGAAAUCGCCUUUUAUCCGCUGGCUUUUUUUCUAUGGAUCAGCAACUUUCAAUAGACAUAAUCUAAUCGCUCUUAAUGGAAAGGCCAUUCGUGAGAAAUAGUGGAAAUAUCGUUGAGCCUAUGGGCUACAAGGCAUUUAAGACCGAGGCAUUUAACAGGCAACAAGAGAGAGAGCUGCACUAAAUAACAUGGCUCUUAAUUAGACGUGGAAAAGUGAAAAGUUUGUAUUUAGAGCAAAGGAGUCAACAUCAGUACUCACACAUUAGCCAAGUGCAUUUAUAACUUUCUAAUUAGCAUGAAAUUAUGAUUAUGAAAACAUGUAUAUGUGAAUAAAUAGAAGUUGAUUGAUUUAUUGUAAAAUAACACCACCCUGCAGUGUGAGUCCUCCUUGUUUGUGUGCAGAUUUGCUCUCUAUUUCCAGUUUGGCCUCUCGUCUCUAGAGAUUCCAGAUCCUUAAAUGUCUUUCCAGGUUUUUUUCUUCUUUUUUUACCCGGAAUCUCAGACUAUAAUUGACGACAAUAUCUGCAGUGACUUUCCCAAUUAGUCUUGAGGUCGGAGUUAAGUUGGAGGGACUGUCACUUUAAGCUAUGGGCAAUGGCUUUAUUGCUCACUAACCAUCAUUUCUUCAGAGCCUAUGUGCUAAUUACUUUAGAUGGUCCCAGAGACGGAGAUUAUAAAUCCAUUAGCACCCAAACCCUCGUGGUUGCACAGUGCAAACACUGUAAUUUUGUACUACACCGAAAAAAAAAACCAAAGUUAAAGGAGCAGAAGCUACAUGAAGGGAGACAGACUUCAGAGAGAGGAAACCCGGAGUUUAUCAAUCAGCAGCUGAGCCCAAACACACACACACACACAUACACAGAGCAUCACACAGAAAUAACUGACAGCAAAAAUAUCUGAUAAAUAGCCCGUGUUUGGGUUUAUAAUCGACUUGUUUAUAUUACUUUGUGCGCAUAAUGCAGCAUUGUGAGGAUCAGCUCUACACUUUUAAUGUUUUGGCUUCUAUUUCCACGCAAGUUUGGAAAAUCGUUUAUUCCCAAAGUGCCCGUGAAGUAUCCAGGGAGAGACGCAGCCCAGAGGAAAAGGGUGGAUUGGAAUAAGACUUAAUACCUGUUUGACUGCGUUUAAAGAGGGGGGAAAAACGAGGGGGUACACGAAGGCAUCCCACCCUUUAAGUAAUUUAUUUCAGGAAAACCGGAGGGCAAAGGUGGAAUUCUUGAGAAAUUCAACAAGGAUAAGGGAGCUUUAGGAAUUCUGCACGCAGAUUACCUUUCAUCCCAUCCUCACAUUAUCCGACAACACACAGUAGAAAUAUAACCGAGCGACAAAAGAGGCAGAUUACCCUCCGACACAGAGGAGAGCUAAACAAUUUUUAAGAAGUGUUGCGAUUAUUACAGAAGAGAGAGAGAUGGGGGAGGAGGAGGGAGGAGAGAGGAAGGGAGGGAUGAGGGGUCAAACAGCAAAGGUUGAUUCCCUGAAUGUGUUCAAAAAAACGACCUAAAUGAGCGUUCAUCCUGUCACUGUCACACUGAGGAGUGUGUGGUCGAUUUUACCCUCCGUUUUCCACACACAUGAAUAUUUAUAGUGUGUAAAUACACAUCAAAUACAUCAUGAAAGUGAGCUGAGCUGAGUGAGGAAAGGAUCAUCUACAGAGAUCUUUACAUCAACAUUUCUCUUCUGCUAACUUACAGUGAGUGUUGUCUCUGCUGUCACUGUCAGUCAUGAUGCGUCCCACACUUCCUGCUGACUCUGGGUUUGACUCUCUCGUCUCGCUCAGGUUGAACUCUUUUGGUUGUCCAUCUUUCUCUUUCUAACUACAUGAGUGGCAUCAUGUCAGGAAAUGCAUUAUUUCCCCUCCUUCAACCCCCCAAAACUAACAAACAGCAGGAGCUUAAUUGGAAAUGUAGAGUAGCUGAACCAUCAGCAAGCUGGAGCAGAAACACAGAGGAGGAAAGAGUUGAUAUGAUAAUUUUAUGUAUGUUAAAAAAUUCCAGAGAUUUUUUUGGAUGUAAAAAAAGUUCAACCUUUGACAUGUUAGUGCCACAUUUUAUCCUAUAAAUCUAUAUUUGUAUAUCCUAAAUGUAGCUUUAAAGUCAUGAUAAAGUAAAAAUACGUCAGAGAUUGGUCAGCCUAUCUCACUGUAAAUUAUAUAAUUGAACUUAAAAACAACAAAUAAUAAUCAAUAGAAAAAAAAUACCAAUAUCUCUCUCACACACCCACACGGACACGGACAAAACCCUCCUGUGCUUAAGUGUAGUUUUGUCUAAAAGGUGUGUGUCUGGUGUUUGCAUGUGUGGGCACAUGUGUGUGAGAAGACAGUGACGUGAAGGUGGCCUGUGUUUAGAGUCCAGACCUGGCAGAUUGUGACCUUAUCAAUGUGAAACUCUUAAGAUAAAUUAUUCAUAGCACCUGUUUGAUGUCUCCGGCCAAAGAAUGACAAAGGUGUAAGAUUUGAGAUGCAUCUCAAAAAGGCAUGAAUACCAGCCCCGGUGCCUGCUGUUGGUUUUUUAGGAGCGGGGAGAAAGAAUGAUAAGGGUUCUUUUUAAAUAAGAAAAAAGAGCGAUUUUGUGCAUAAGACAGCGAGCGUGUGCGUAGGUGCAUCAUCGAGACUUAGCAGUAACUCAGUCUACAAAUUUCAGUGUACAAGGUGUGACCCCAUGUGACUCACAGGUAUCUAGUGAUUAAGCGGGCCACCUGCAUCGCCACCGCCUGCUUUAAUUUGAAAUUUGAAGCUCGGAGAGAGUUGAUGUGGUUGAUUCGGCGGAGCUAAUCGUGACUGAGUUUGUGUUGUGUGUCUCUCCUCGCAGGAAAAGGAAUGACAUGGCCGUGAAGCAUUCGGGACGCACAGCAGGACGUGUCGGUGUGAUGCAAGGACUGACACCGGAAUGAGAUGUAAUUUAUGGCGAGGGUGUUUGAUUAAAGGACAGUGAUGGGGGAAAGAAAUGCUGAGUACACAGUUGAAUGUGUGUUAAAUCAAAUACCAUUUGUACAUUAAUAGCCAGGCUAAGAAUAGAUUUUAAAAGUCUCUCCCCUCUGAUUUUUAUUGGUUAGUUCAGAUUUUGUUUUUUCAAAGAGUGAAUAAUACUGCAGUGUGUAUUUAUGGAGUACUAUUCUGAGCUUUUCCUCUCAGAGAGGAAUCUAAGCAUCCAAAUUCCUCCUCAAUUAUUUGUUUUGGAAACGAACCAUCGGUCUGCUUUUUGGGAAACUAGCAGCUCAUCUCUUCAUAGCUAGAGGUCAACAUAACACUCAGUAUUAAUAAAACAAAUAAGAGCAGGAUGGAUAUUAAUGAUGGUAUAAACACACGUAGUGCAGAUGAGAGAGAGAGAGAGAGAGCUGAUAGGCAGCAAAGAAGAGACCCACUCAGGCCCUCUCACACAUAUUUGUGUGUUUACUUGUCGGUGUAUGUGUGUAUGAGAGAUAGCCGAGUCCGUAUCCUUCAGAUGUUCCCUCUGACCUUUGACCCUGCAACCGGGGUCAAGGCCUGACAAAUGAGAUGGUUGAGUUUUGGCCAGAACUGCAAACAUUCCACAACAAUCUUCUGUCCUCCUCCUCUUCCUCCCCUCAUAUCCGUCAUUCCUCACCCCUUCACUCCUCUCUGUUUGUCUCUUCCUGCACUUAGAGAGAGAGAGAGUCAGAGAAAGUUCUCAUUACAAACAAGCAUGUUUUAUUGGAUUCGCUGUGGGAAUCUUUUUUGGAGCACACACCCUUCAAAUUAUGAAUUACAGCACUGCUUAAAUUUAAGAUCCUGGACAUCGGCCUGGUUCGCAGAAGAAAAGAAAACAAAACAUUUAUGAUCUUAAGGAAAAAGCUGCGCUAAAAGAUUUGGAUAUUACAAGCGUGCACUUUGAAAGAACAUAGCGUGUGCUUGGAAAGCUUGUCAGUGAUGUCAAGGAUGAGAAAUGUUGCAGUGUGGUUUUUUACACACGCUGCUGGCUCUAGCAUUUCCGGCAACAUUUCUCACUCUGCCUCCCUCACACCAUCCGCUGUGCUGCAAUAUCCCCACAUUUUUCCAUCCUUUCACUUCAUCCCCUCCCCUCCCUUCCCUCUGUUCUCUGACCACUCUUUGCUCCCAUUACCCUUCCUCUCUGCUGCCCAAUCUCAGCCUCUCCCUCCCUUCUCACAUCCACUCACCCCCCCUUUCCUUUCCCUUCUCUCUCUCUCUCUCUCUCUUUUUUUUCUCCACCCACUAUUUUCUCAGAUUUUCUAACAUGCCGCUCCACAGAAUGCUACCACCUGUGUCUUUAGGGAGGAAAGCGGAGCUGUUGGUAUUCCUCCUCAGGAAGCUGGUUAAGGUAAGUGGCACCCUCUAUUACAAUGACAAGGCAAAUAACAGUUUCAGCUCGUUGUGUUUCUGCAUUACGGGGUGUUUUUUUUUUUUAAUGUUCACUGAAUGACCCCGGCUUCCUAAGCAUUACCGCCCUCCAUCAGAGCUCUGGCUACAAGUCACUGCUGUAAAAACACACGCAGUCGCCAUCGAUGAGCAUCAUCAGAGCCACAAAAGGAGCCUGGAGACCAACAAAGCCGUAACACUGAGUGGCUCUUGCUCUUGAACUGGCUCUCAUAAUGAUGUAAUAUUACUAAAAGGCAAUGCAACACAGCUAAGAUCUUAAUAAAAACACAUCAAUCCCGA
rnacentral:lncRNA from 1 species